GAUACAAUCUGUGAAGUGCGCAGUCUGGUAUGAGUGCUGCUUGCGAGUGGAUGGUUGCAAUUGCCUGCCCUCCUGGCGUGCCCUCCUGCCGUGGCCUCCUGCCGGUUCCUCUACGUCACAGGUUGUGUUUCAAUGACAGCUUAACCAUGCAUCAUGGGCUGCAACAGCAGCGGUCCCGUCGUCGCUGACUUGCAACCGAACGCAACAGAAACUGCAGAAUCAAACACAGAAAAAGAAGAAAAAAAAGCUGACGGUGUAACAGAGAGUGACAUGAUGAACGUGCUUCCUAUUUGUGACAAAUUAAUUGAUAAUUCACAAACAGCUGGCGAUGAGGGCAUGUUGAACUCCCGCGUGAGCUCCGAAUCGCUUGAAAAAGAAAACUCAACGUUAGUUAAUGGAAAUAUGAAAGAUCAAGAAUCGAUAGACGCUGCAGCAACCGAUAGUGAAAAACUAACCACAUUUAAGAAAGUGGCUGAUAUUGUCAUUAUUGAUAAAAUAUUAGAAGAUGUCCGAGCAAUUAAUGAAAAUGACAUACAAGAUUUAGUUGGCACUGCCGCAGAGGAAGUAAAUCAAGAAGAUUUGAAUCAAAAUGAAAAUGAGCAAGACCAAACCACAAAUAAUAAUGAAAACAUUGUUGAAAUCGUUAUAGAUAAUAUGGAAUUUAAUGAAGAAGAAAACAGUUCUAGAGAGGGCAGCGCAAAGGAACAUCAAAGUCCCACACAAUCAGAGUGCAGCAAGUCGACUCGUUGGGAAGCGCUGGCAGAUAUAGCGGCAGAGCUACCGCCUUCGCUAGCCGUAGACCCCGUCACUGGACAUAUUUAUUCACUUGCAAAAUAAAACAUCACAUUGAAUUCUAAGGCCCAUCUUGCAGAACAUCAGAUUUCAUUGGCUCUCUUACAUUCCAUUACAUUUACACUCAAAAGUUGACUACAUAUUGAGACAAAUCUACAAAUGUACAGUGCCUCAAUAUUUAACAUAAUAUUAUCUGUUAUAGUUAAGUAUUAAGUCAAAUUUAAUGUUAAGAGCUGACUUUCACAAAUACUGCGGAAUGUGUUGCACCAUCGUAUUCCGUGGAAUAGUUAAAGUUAAAUUGUGAAUAUCGAAUAUUUAUUUGAAACUUUUGUCAGGUGCCUAGGUAUUUAGCUAUUUAAUAUUAACAAUAGCUAUACGGCCGUUUUCAAUAACGUAUCUCUAGUUACGGAUACAUUGCUGUCACCGUUUAAUGACAAGAUCUUAUCUAUCCAUAGCUAUGUCCAAUAUAGUUUAACGGCCGUUUUCAAUAACGUAUCUCUAGUUACGGAUACAUUGCUGUCACCGUUUAAUGACAAGAUCUUAUCUAUCCAUACUUAUGUCCAAUAUAGUUAUAGUCCAAUGCUUUAUGUCGAUAGGUUAUUGAAAUGUAAGUAAGCGUUAAAGGAUAGAUUUGUCUACCUAUAGUAAGUUAAAUUAAGGAUAGAUAGGUUAUUGAAAACGGCCGUUAAACGGCGAACAUUUGACGGCUACGGUUAACAGUUAAAGUUAUGACGUCAUCUCAAAAUUGUCAAAUGGUGUAACUCAUUUCUUGCUUAACCGGUAUUUUCAUAUGUUGGUACUAAAGUUAGUUGGUGCAACCAAGCCUAACUCUAUUAUAGUGAUGCUUCUGAUACAAUUUCAGCUCUGUUACAACAAGAAUAAUAAAUUAUGAAUUACU